GCCAACUACGUGCCAGCAGCCGCGGUAAUACGUAGGGUGCAAGCGUUGUCCGGAAUUACUGGGCGUAAAGAGCUCGUAGGCGGUUUGUCACGUCGUCUGUGAAAUCCUCCAGCUUAACUGGGGGCGUGCAGGCGAUACGGGCAGACUUGAGUACUACAGGGGAGACUGGAAUUCCUGGUGUAGCGGUGAAAUGCGCAGAUAUCAGGAGGAACACCGGUGGCGAAGGCGGGUCUCUGGGUAGUAACUGACGCUGAGGAGCGAAAGCAUGGGUAGCGAACAGGAUUAGAUACCCUGGUAGUC
rnacentral:rRNA from 1 species